AGAGUUUGAUCCUGGCUCAGAUUGAACGCUGGCGGCGUGCCUAACACAUGCAAGUCGAGCGGUAACAGGUGUAGCAAUACAUGCUGACGAGCGGCGAACGGGUGAGUAAUGCUUCGGAAUCUACCCAGUAGUGGGGAAUAACCAACCGAAAGGUUGGCUAAUACCGCAUACGUCCUACGGGAGAAAGCGGGGGAUCGCAAGACCUCGCGCUAUCGGAUGAGCCGAAGCCGGAUUAGCUAGUUGGUAGGGUAACGGCCUACCAAGGCGACGAUCCGUAGCUGGUCUGAGAGGACGACCAGCCACACUGGGACUGAGACACGGCCCAGACUCCUACGGGAGGCAGCAGUGGGGAAUAUUGGACAAUGGGGGAAACCCUGAUCCAGCGACGCCGCGUGUGUGAAGAAGGCCUGCGGGUUGUAAAGCACUUUUAGUGGGGAUGAAAAGUGCAGAGCUAACACCUCUGCAUCUUGACCUAACCCACAGAAAAAGCACCGGCUAACUCUGUGCCAGCAGCCGCGGUAAUACAGAGGGUGCGAGCGUUAAUCGGAAUUACUGGGCGUAAAGCGUGCGUAGACGGUAAUGUAAGUCGGGUGUGAAAGCCCCGGGCUCAACCUGGGAAUUGCAUUCGAGACUGCAUUGCUUGGGUGCGGAAGAGGGAAGCGGAAUUUCCGGUGUAGCGGUGAGAUGCGUAGAUAUCGGAAGGAACACCAGUGGCGAAAGCGGCUUCCUGGUCCGACACCGACGUUCAGGCACGAAAGCGUGGGGAGCAAACAGGAUUAGAUACCCCUGUAGUCC
rnacentral:rRNA from 1 species